rnacentral:rRNA from 1 species
GAUGAACGCUGGCGGCGUGCCUAAUACAUGCAAGUCGAGCGAAUGGAUUAAGAGCUUGCUCUUAUGAAGUUAUCGGCGGACGGGUGAGUAACACGUGGGUAAUCUGCCCAUAAGACUGGGAUAACUCCGGGAAACCGGGGCUAAUACCGGAUAACAUCUUGAACCGCAUGGUUCGAAAUUGAAAGGCGGCUUCGGCUGUCACUUAUGGAUGGACCCGCGUCGCAUUAGCUAGUUGGUGAGGUAACGGCUCACCAAGGCAACGAUGCGUAGCCGACCUGAGAGGGUGAUCGGCAACACGGGGCCGGAGAAGCGGCCCAGACUCCGAGGGGAGGCAGCAGUAGGGAAUCUUCCGCAAGGGACGAAAGUCUGACGGAGCAACGCCGCGUGAGUGAUGAAGGCUUUCGGGUCGUAAAACUCUGUUGUUAGGGAAGAACAAGUGCUAGUUGAAUAAGCUGGCACCUUGACGGUACCUAACCAGAAAGCCACGGCUAACUACGUGCCAGCCGCCGCCGUA